GAUGAACGCUGGCGGCGUGCCUAAUACAUGCAAGUCGAGCGAACAGACGAGGAGCUUGCUCCUCUGACGUUAGCGGCGGACGGGUGAGUAACACGUGGAUAACCUACCUAUAAGACUGGGAUAACUUCGGGAAACCGGAGCUAAUACCGGAUAAUAUAUUGAACCGCAUGGUGCAAUAGUUAAAGACGGUUUUGCUGUCACUUAUAGAUGGAUCCGCGCUGCAUUAGCUAGUUGGUAAGGUAACGGCUUACCAAGGCAACGAAGCGUAGCCGACCUGAGAGGGUGAUCGGCCACACUGGAACUGAGACACGGUCCAGACUCCUACGGGAGGCAGCAGUAGGGAAUCUUGCGCAAUGGGCGAAAGCUUGACGGAGCAACGCCGCGUGAGUGAUGAAGGUCUUCGGAUCGUAAAACUCUGUUAUUAGGGAAGAACAAAUGUGUAAGUAACUAUGCACGUCUUGACGGUACCUAAUCAGAAAGCCACGGCUAACUACGUG
rnacentral:rRNA from 1 species